ACCAACACUAGAAGAUGAGGAGCUGACAUACCUGCGCAAGCUUGCACGUCCUUUGCCAACACAUUUUGCUCUAGGAUGAUUAAGUAUUAACUGCUUCCGGCACCCUUACCUUCUUAUGCAUACAUCACCUUAAUGUUCCACACAAAAUAAUGUAGAAGCACAAGAAAACUGGUUCUUCAGAUUCCUCGGUCCUCUGCAAUUUCUUUGCUACAAAAAAUAUGGCAGCUAGGAGGCAUUGCCAUUAUGCAUACAUUGGUGGCCUACCUCCGUCAAACUGAACCUGAGCAACGGGUUUUAGCGGCUAAUCUUCUCCUUCAAUUGGAUAUGCUGCAACAACUGAUAAAAUCAAAAAUUGGGCCAAGAGCUGCUGUUGUUGUGAGCGCGCGAUAGAAAAAGGAACGACGCCAUAGUUGAGCUAAGAGAAAAACAGGGCAAAAAAUUGGUGAACGACGCCAUAGUUAUAAAUUAAAGAAUGCAUUCACCUAACUCUUUACAACAUUUUUAAAAAUAGGUUGCAUGAUAAGAACAAAGGAAUUCGGACACAUUCAUGAAGGUAUACUGGUCUGAUUAUUAAUUUUAUGUUAGAUUUUCUCCACGUACUUGUACAGUCAAGCAAGAUUGAAGUUCCAAUUGGGCCUCUUCCCUCGGCGCCACUCUCCCGCUGCUCCUCCAACCCAAGUGCCGACAAAAUGGAGCUCGCCAAGGCACACUUCGUGGACGAGGAGGACCACCCACGACGAUGAACAUGUGUGACCUCACCCCCGAGCCUGACGAGCUCGGCAACGACAACAUCGUCAACCUUGAUCUCGAUGACACAGUUGAUCCCUAGCUUAGUGCCGACACCGAAGGGCAAGCCCGGCUUCUCUAGAGUUUGCAAAGGAGCUUUACGUUCAGGGCAUGGUUGUUUGCACAGAGUGGUGGACCCUACUUUGAUCCUUUGACAGAUAAUUCUUCAUAAUGUGAUAGUGUAUAGGUCUUCUUUCUGGGGACCUACUGCUCAACUACUGCACUCCUUGGCUGCUACCGACCAAAUUUUUUACAAAUCUUUCUACAUGUUUUGUUUCUAUAUAUUUACAAAUAUCCUAUCAAUCCAUUUUUAAAAUGUAUGGGCGCGGCAACGCACGCCUUUCAUGAUCUA